rnacentral:rRNA from 1 species
UAACGAAUCUUGGGCAAUGGGCGAAAGCCUGACCCAGCAAUGCCGCGUGCAGGAGGAAGCCCUUCGGGGUGUAAACUGCUGUCAGGGGCUAGCAAGCAAGGGAUGUUAACAGCGUCCUGCGUUGAGCCGCCCCAGAGGAAGCCACGACUAACUCUGUGCCAGCAGUCGCGGUAAUACAGAGGUGGCAAGCGUUGUUCGGAAUCACUGGGCUUAAAGCGGGUGUAGGCGGCUGCGCAAGUGUCCUGUGAAAGCCCACGGCUCAACCGUGGAAUUGCAGGGCAAACUGCGUGGCUUGAGGCUGGUAGAGGUGCCUGGAACUCUAGGUGGAGCGGUGAAAUGCGUAGAUAUCUAGAGGAACGCCAGAAGCGCAAGCGGGGCACUGGGCCAGUUCUGACGCUGAGACCCGAAAGCAUGGGGAGCAAACA